AAAAAAUCACAAUGAUAAUAGAAAAAAAAUCCACUGAGAGGAGGAGUAACAGUGUCCUGAAAUGAUUUAAGAGGAGGGAUCCCCUUGCUCAAGAAGCCUACAGAGAUUAGCUGCUGCUUGUUUUCACCAGCAGCAGCAGCCAAAAGUGACUUGAGCUCAGGAAAAGAAUGCUUCAUUAACACCAGUGAAAAGAAAAAUGACACUGUGGAGGCAUGGCAAAGCACAAGGGAAAUACUACUCAAUGUGAGUGCUGAGCUCCUUUGUCCUCCAGAUGACACAGGCUGCACAGAGCGCAGCGUUUCCUUCACUGAUGAUGAAAGUGAGAUCUGGCGAUGCAAUGACUGCGGAAGUAAAACCUGAUGCACUUCUGUCUGCGUCCAGAUCGUCCAUCAACGCACCGCUGUGGGGCAUGAUCUAGAAAGAGGAGGCAAGUGAAUUUCUUCAGCGAGUUCCCAUGGGCUUCAGAUGGUACUGAUCAAGGAAGGACAGCCACCAAUGUGACAGGAAUCCAUGAUGGUUGGAUCCAGUUUUGCAAGUGUGAAAUGGAAAUUGCAAGACUAUUAUGUUGCAGCCUUUGGCCAGCAACUGUUAAGCAACCCCAAAGUGCCAUUUCCAUCAAGCUCAUGGACAUGAUCUGCCGGCUGCAGCUUGAAUGUGGUGCAUCGCUGAAGGCUGUGUGUGCAGCAAUUCAGCAUUCUUCAGUGUCUUUCAAGGCUGGCUUAAUAGUAGCCUCUGUCUAUGUGAUUCCUCCUUUACAUCAUCUUUGUCUGAAAGCUCCACAGAAGUUUUGCCGAGAUCUUCUGAUUCAAACAUUUGCUGUACCUCCAUUCCAUGCUUAUGGGCACAUGACUGUUUUUCAGCUUUACAGCAGCUUAUUCAUGCUGUUAUCCAGUUAGCCAAUCACAAGGCAGCAGUGAGAACCAUUAAAGUCCUGCAGAUACAGGUGUGCGCAGCUGAAACCAAUUAAGUACACUGAUUGAAAUAAAGAAGACUUGGGCGGCACUGGGUAUGACAGACAUGCUGAGGCCCGACAGCCUGCAACAGCACAGCUUUUAGGAGUCUUUUACUUUUCUCCCCAGUUGUUUUUUUCCACCUAGAUUUUGUGUUGCAUUUUGUUAUUUUAGUCUGGAUUGGAUGUUUCUGCUUCAGUUUAGCUCCCCCCCCCCCCCCCCCCCUUUUGGUAGUUUGCAGGGAGGAGCUGGGUUCAUAUGGUCCAUUACAAGGUUGGCCCUGUCUCUUCCCCCUCUCGUUAGGUUUGGGUGGGAUCUCCAACCGCUUUUGUUUAUUUUCUGUUGUACUUUGAGCAGGAUUCUUUUAUUCCUAAUAAAAACUUCUUUUUCUAUGUAA